rnacentral:rRNA from 1 species
GUUAAGCGACUAAGCGUACACGGUGGAUGCCCUGGCAGUCAGAGGCGAUGAAGGACGUGCUAAUCUGCGAUAAGCGUCGGUGAGGUGAUAUGAACCGUUAUAACCGGCGAUUUCCGAAUGGGGAAACCCAGUGUGUUUCGACACACUAUCAUUAACUGAAUCCAUAGGUUAAUGAGGCGAACCGGGGGAACUGAAACAUCUAAGUACCCCGAGGAAAAGAAAUCAACCGAGAUUCCCCCAGUAGCGGCGAGCGAACGGGGAGGAGCCCAGAGCCUGAAUCAGUGUGUGUGUUAGUGGAAGCGUCUGGAAAGGCGCGCGAUACAGGGUGACAGCCCCGUACACAAAAAUGCACAUAUUGUGAGCUCGAUGAGUAGGGCGGGACACGUGGUAUCCUGUCUGAAUAUGGGGGGACCAUCCUCCAAGGCUAAAUACUCCUGACUGACCGAUAGUGAACCAGUACCGUGAGGGAAAGGCGAAAAGAACCCCGGCGAGGGGAGUGAAAAAGAACCUGAAACCGUGUACGUACAAGCAGUGGGAGCCUCUUUAUGGGGUGACUGCGUACCUUUUGUAUAAUGGGUCAGCGACUUAUAUUCUGUAGCAAGGUUAACCGAAUAGGGGAGCCGAAGGGAAACCGAGUCUUAACUGGGCGUUAAGUUGCAGGGUAUAGACCCGAAACCCGGUGAUCUAGCCAUGGGCAGGUUGAAGGUUGGGUAACACUAACUGGAGGACCGAACCGACUAAUGUUGAAAAAUUAGCGGAUGACUUGUGGCUGGGGGUGAAAGGCCAAUCAAACCGGGAGAUAGCUGGUUCUCCCCGAAAGCUAUUUAGGUAGCGCCUCGUGAAUUCAUCUCCGGGGGUAGAGCACUGUUUCGGCAAGGGGGUCAUCCCGACUUACCAACCCGAUGCAAACUGCGAAUACCGGAGAAUGUUAUCACGGGAGACACACGGCGGGUGCUAACGUCCGUCGUGAAGAGGGAAACAACCCAGACCGCCAGCUAAGGUCCCAAAGUCAUGGUUAAGUGGGAAACGAUGUGGGAAGGCCCAGACAGCCAGGAUGUUGGCUUAGAAGCAGCCAUCAUUUAAAGAAAGCGUAAUAGCUCACUGGUCGAGUCGGCCUGCGCGGAAGAUGUAACGGGGCUAAACCAUGCACCGAAGCUGCGGCAGCGACACUAUGUGUUGUUGGGUAGGGGAGCGUUCUGUAAGCCUGUGAAGGUGGCCUGUGAGGGUUGCUGGAGGUAUCAGAAGUGCGAAUGCUGACAUAAGUAACGAUAAAGCGGGUGAAAAGCCCGCUCGCCGGAAGACCAAGGGUUCCUGUCCAACGUUAAUCGGGGCAGGGUGAGUCGACCCCUAAGGCGAGGCCGAAAGGCGUAGUCGAUGGGAAACAGGUUAAUAUUCCUGUACUUGG